GCGGUGGUGGUUCAAUGGUAGAAUUCUCACCUCCAAUGUGGGAGACCAGGUUUGAUUUCUGACCAAUGCA
rnacentral:tRNA from 1 species